rnacentral:rRNA from 1 species
CCUACGGGUGGCAGCAGUAGGGAAUUUUGCUCAAUGGGGGAAACCCUGACGCAGCAACGCCGCGUGAACGAUGAAGCCCUUCGGGGUGUAAAGAUCUGUCAGUGGGGACGAAACCUGACGUUACCCACAGAGAAAGCACCGGCUAACUCCGUGCCAGCAGCCGCGGUAAUACGGGGGGUGCAAGCGUUGUCCGGAAUCAUUGGGCGUAAAGAGUUCGUAGGUGGCAUGUUAAGUCUGGUGUUAAAGGCGGAAGCUAAACUUUAGUAGGGCACUGGAUACUGGCGAGCUUGAAUGCGGUAGAGGUAAAGGGAAUUCUUGGUGUAGCGGUGAAAUGCGUAGAGAUCAGGAGGAACAUCGGUGGCGUAAGCACUUUACUGGGCCGUAAUUGACACUGAGGAACGAAAGCCGGGGUAGCAAAUGGGAUUAGAUACCCCAGUAGUC